UGGCGGCGUGCUUAACACAUGCAAGUCGAGCGGUAAGGCCCUUCGGGGUACACGAGCGGCGAACGGGUGAGUAACACGUGGGUGAUCUGCCUCGCACUUCGGGAUAAGCCUGGGAAACUGGGUCUAAUACCGGAUAUGACCUGCUGUCGCAUGGCGGUGGGUGGAAAGAUUUAUCGGUGCGAGAUGGGCCCGCGGCCUAUCAGCUUGUUGGUGGGGUAAUGGCCUACCAAGGCGACGACGGGUAGCCGGCCUGAGAGGGCGACCGGCCACACUGGGACUGAGACACGGCCCAGACUCCUACGGGAGGCAGCAGUGGGGAAUAUUGCACAAUGGGCGAAAGCCUGAUGCAGCGACGCCGCGUGAGGGAUGACGGCCUUCGGGUUGUAAACCUCUUUCGACAGGGACGAAGCGCAAGUGACGGUACCUGUAGAAGAAGCACCGGCCAACUACGUGCCAGCAGCCGCG
rnacentral:rRNA from 1 species